ACACGACUACGAGUUUGAUCCGUGGCUCAGAGCGAACGCUAGCGGCGGGCUUAACACAUGCAAGUCGAGCGCAUCUCCUUCGGGAGGUGAGCGGCGAACGGGUGAGUAACACGUAGGUAACGUACCCUCUGGUGGGGAUUAACCCGGGGAAACUUGGGCUAAUACCGCAUGUGCCCUUCGGGGUGAAAGACUUCGGUUGCCAGAGGAUCGGCCUGCGGCCCAUUAUUUAAUCCUAGUUGGUAGGGUAACGGCCUACCAAGGGUACGAUGGGUAGCUGGUCUGAGAGGAUGAUCAGCCACACUGGGACUGAGACACGGCCCAGACUCCUACGGGAGGCAGCAGUGGGGAAUAUUGGACAAUGGGCGAAAGCCUGAUCCAGCCACGCCGCGUGAGUGAUGAAGGCCUUCGGGUUGUAAAGCUCUGUCGGGAGGGACGAAGUACUGACGGUACCUCCCAAGAAAGCGCCGGCUAACUCCGUG
rnacentral:rRNA from 1 species